GAUGAACGCUGGCGGCGUGCCUAAUACAUGCAAGUCGAGCGAACAGACGAGGAGCUUGCUCCUCUGACGUUAGCGGCGGACGGGUGAGUAACACGUGGAUAACCUACCUAUAAGACUGGGAUAACUUCGGGAAACCGGAGCUAAUACCGGAUAACAUGUUGAACCGCAUGGUUCAACAGUGAAAGACGGUUUUGCUGUAACUUAUAGAUGGAUCCGCGUCGCAUUAGCUAGUUGGUAAGGUAAAGGCUUACCAAGGCAACGAUGCGUAGCCGACCUGCGAGGGUGAUCGGCCACACUGGAACUGAGACACGGUCCAGACUCCUACGGGAGGCAGCAGUAGGGAAUCUUCCGCAAUGGGCGAAAGCCUGACGGAGCAACGCCGCGUGAGUGAAGAAGGUCUUCGGAUCGUAAAACUCUGUUAUUAGGGAAGAACAAAUGUGUAAGUAACUAUGCACGUCUUGACGGUACCUAAUCAGAAAGCCACGGCUAACUACGUG
rnacentral:rRNA from 1 species